AUUGAACGCUGGCGGCAUGCCUUACACAUGCAAGUCGAACGGUAACGCGGGGCAACCUGGCGACGAGUGGCGAACGGGUGAGUAAUGUAUCGGAACGUGCCCAGUUGUGGGGGAUAACUGCUCGAAAGAGCAGCUAAUACCGCAUACGACCUGAGGGUGAAAGCGGGGGAUCGCAAGACCUCGCGCAAUUGGAGCGGCCGAUAUCAGAUUAGGUAGUUGGUGGGGUAAAGGCCCACCAAGCCAACGAUCUGUAGCUGGUCUGAGAGGACGACCAGCCACACUGGGACUGAGACACGGCCCAGACUCCUACGGGAGGCAGCAGUGGGGAAUUUUGGACAAUGGACGCAAGUCUGAUCCAGCCAUGCCGCGUGCGGGAAGAAGGCCUUCGGGUUGUAAACCGCUUUUGUCAGGGAAGAAACGCUCUGGGUUAAUACCUCGGGGUAAUGACGGUACCUGAAGAAUAAGCACCGGCUAACUACGUGCCAGCAGCCGCGGUAACAC
rnacentral:rRNA from 1 species